UUAUACAUAUAUCACCCUGCAGCUAUCACCUAGUUUCCCAUUGAAGCUAAGUAGGAUUGAGCCUGGCCAGUACUUGGAUGGGAGACCUCCUGGGGAAAAUGUCUGGGUAUAAC
rnacentral:rRNA from 1 species